CCGAGAUGACUGCCUGAGAUGACUACCCGAGAUUACUGCCCGAGAUGACUGCCCAGGAUGACUGCCCGGGAUGACUGCUUUAGAUGACUACCCGAGAUGACUGCUUCAGAUGACUGCCUGAGAUAACUGCCUGAGAUGACUGCCCGAGAUGACUGCCUGAGAUGACUGCCCGAGUUGAUUGCCCGAGAUGACUGGCCGAGAUGACUGCCUGAGAUGACUGCUUGAAAUGACUGCCUGGGAUGACUGUCCGAGAUGAUUGCCCGAGAUGACUGCCCGAGAUGGCUGUCAAUUUACAUCCUGUGGACAGGUGCUGCAAGGCCAACGCCAUCCAGAGUAUGGAGUCCUAAUCAUUUUGUUCUAUUAUUGCUAGCCAAAGAACUGCCAACGAUGACCUUCUCGGAGCAGAACAAAAACUAUUCGGAGGCAUGUCAUUUAGUGUUAUCAGUUAACUGGACUUUGUGAGAGUUUUCUUGCAAAAUGUUUGCCAAGAUUGGUGGCGAUCGAAGGUGGACAGCAAGAUCGAAGCUCAGCAAGAUUGAAGAUUGUUCGAGGAAGAAGGAGUUCGCCGUUGACUAAAAGGUUUAUCUGAACAGCUAGUUGUCAAGAUGAAGGUGACUCGCCCGGCCAAAUUCAAAAUGGCGAUGCCAAAGAAAACCAUCCACGUGGACCGUUCGCGGACCUUUCUGAGCAAGAUUGUUGU